GUUCAGAAACAGACCUGGCUUCAUGAUGGACACUGAUAGAAAAUCUACUUUUGAACAGAUCUUCUUGAGAAGAAAACUUGGCUUGUGGCUUAGUCUCCUGCAGAGAGAUGCACUAGUUCGCCCUUGCUGCUGUGGUCCAGGGCUGAUGAGGAGGCCUGGCAGAGUUUUCCGUGUUUGUGAGACACUGCCAGAGCCUUUUCAUCUCUUGCUCCCGUCUGUGUGGUUGCUCAGCUCCUCUUGGCUUCUGGUCUUCUAGAAGUUGCUCUCGCUGCUCCCAGGGUGGAGUCCACUCUUUCCUGAAUCCCACUUCUUGCUCUUCUUUGGUUUAGUCCUUCCUUUUGCUUCUAAAUGACUUCAGGUAACUUCCUAAGGGUGGGGGGUGAGGUGUGGGGUUGGAGUGGCGGGUCAACACUGAGUUCUUGCAUACUUGAAAUGUUUUUAUUGUUCGCUUAAUUUCAUGGAUAGACUUGCAUAUUGAAUUUUAGGCCCCAAUUUAUUUUUUCUCAGAACUUGAAAACUAUUGCUUCAUGGUUUUCUAGAAUCCAGUUUACUAAUAAGAUAUGUUAUGUUCAAAUGAUACUUCUUUGUAGUAGCUUUUUUUUUCCUCUUUGAAACUGUAUAUGAAUUCAUCUUUAUCUUUGACAUUUUAAAAUGUUAUAAGGACAUUUAUAGGUGUGGGCCUUUUGUCAUUCAUUGCUCUGGAGAUUUUUCAGUCUAAAGACUUGUAUACAGCAUUCCUUUAACUCUUUUAUUAUUCCUUCUUUUAGUCUUUUCCUUUCUUUUCUUUUAUUCUCUCCAUUUCCUAUUUUUGGAUACCUAUUGGUUAAAAGUUAAACAAUGCCUGGAGAAAAACUCAAAAUAAAACAGAAAAAAAAAUUUAAGUUUAAAAAAUA
rnacentral:lncRNA from 1 species